rnacentral:tRNA from 1 species
GCCUGGGUGGCUCAGUGGUUGAGCAUCUGCCUCCAGAUCAGAUCGUGAUCUGGGGAUCCUGGGAUCGAGUCCCGCAUUGGGCU